CAGAGGAAAACUGUAGAGUUCUGUCCUCAGUUCUCAGAUCAAACUCCUCCAGACUGAGAGAACUGGACCUGAGUCACAAUAACCUGCAGGAUUCAGGAGUGAAGCUGCUCUCUGCUGGACUGGAGAAUCCACACUGUACACUGGAGAUACUGAGGAUGUGUUACUGCAGGAUUACAGAUGAAGGUUGUGCUGCUCUGGCUUCUGCUCUGAGGUCAAACUCCUCAUCACACCUGAGAGAACUGGAUCUGAAGUAUAAUAAUCCAGGAGAAUCAGGAGUGAAGCUGCUCUCUGAUCUACUGAAGGAUCCACACUGUAACCUGGAGACACUACACAUUAAGGGUAAUAAACUCACCAGGACUAGCGUAUGACAGGAGUCUCACCUCAAACCUCUUCUCCAGGAUAAAGCAGUCUCGGUGAAGAGUUAGAACCCGUUCCACAUUUCCAGCAGUUUGGGAGCUGAAUCAUUAAACUUAAAGGGGCAGAGCAGAAACAAAGUCAAGAACAUGCAUAAGAUCGUACACAGGAGAAAUCAACACACGUAACCAAAUAUCUGCUGUACAAAGCAACGGCACCGAUCUGCCCCGGGGAUGGAGACUGACGAGGCUUAAGUACACGUCCGGAAAUGUACAGACAACUCAUCCCAAAGCACGAGGCGGGAGCAGGCGUGUACGAGAUGUGAUCGUCCAAUGGCAAGCAGGAACAUGACGCAUUGCAGUGGACUGGGCUUAAAAGAGGAGACAAGACACCCAUCCCUCCCCCGACAUAGACACACGAAUGGAACAUAGUACAAACAGAAAUACAACUGAGCACGUAUCAAUGGUCAAGUAUCAAAUAAAAUGUAAACUUACA